CUAGUAUCGAAUACUGGUAAUAAUAUCAGCAAAAGAACGUUCUCCUUUGCUUCCAGACAUGCAGAGCUCCAUAUUCGUGUACAGUCAAAAAAAAAGAGGAUUGAUUCCGUAAAAGAUGAGAUCAGUAAAUGGGAAUUCUAUCAGGAAA